rnacentral:rRNA from 1 species
UACAGAGGUCUCAAGCGUUGUUCGGAUUCAUUGGGCGUAAAGGGUGCGUAGGCGGCGCGGUAAGUCGGGUGUGAAAUCUCGGGAGCUUAACUCCGAAACUGCAUUCGAUACUGCCGUGCUUGAGGACUGGAGAGGAGACUGGAAUUUACGGUGUAGCGGUGAAAUGCGUAGAUAUCGUAAGGAAGACCAGUGGCGAAGGCGGGUCUCUGGACAGUUCCUGACGCUGAGGCACGAAGGCCAGGGGGAGCAAACGGG